rnacentral:rRNA from 1 species
AUUGAACGCUGGCGGCAGGCCUAACACAUGCAAGUCGAGCGAGCGGCGGACGGGUGAGUAAUGUAUGGGGAUCUGCCCGAUAGAGGGGGAUAACUACUGGAAACGGUGGCUAAUACCGCAUACUAUCGGAUGAACCAAUAUGGGAUGGGCUAGUAGGUGGGGUAACGGCUCACCUAGGCGACGAUCCCGAGCUGGUCUGAGAGGAUGACCAGCCACACAGGACCUGGGACACGGUCCAGACUCCUACGGUAUGCAGCGUUGGGGACUAUUGCGCAAUGGGGGCAACCCUGACGCAGCCAUGCCGCGUGAGUGAAGAAGUCCUUCGGGUUGUAAAGUUCUUUCGGUAGCGAGGCGUUAACUACAGAAGAAGCACCGGCUAACUCCGUGCCAGCAGCCGCGGUAAUAC